rnacentral:snoRNA from 1 species
ACGCUUCAGAUUCCUUGUCCCUCGGAUCAAAAUGUUGGUCUGAGUGACUAAAAAACGAGGAACAGUAAAACUGAAGUGGACUUGGAAUCUUUACUGACUUACAAAUUCAUUUCAAACAUAG